AGUGAACGCUGGCGGUAGGCCUAACACAUGCAAGUCGAACGGCAGCACAGUAAGAGCUUGCUCUUACGGGUGGCGAGUGGCGGACGGGUGAGGAAUACAUCGGAAUCUACUUUUUCGUGGGGGAUAACGUGGGGAAACUUACGCUAAUACCGCAUACGACCUACGGGUGAAAGCAGGGGAUCUUCGGACCUUGCGCGAUUGAAUGAGCCGAUGUCGGAUUAGCUAGUUGGCGGGGUAAAGGCCCACCAAGGCGACGAUCCGUAGCUGGUCUGAGAUGAUGAUCAGCCACACUGGAACUGAGACACGGUCCAGACUCCUACGGGAUGCAGCAGUGGGGAAUAUUGGACAAUGGGCGCAAGCCUGAUCCAGCCAUACCGCGUGGGUGAAGAAGGCCUUCGGGUUGUAAAGCCCUUUUGUUGGGAAAGAAAAGCAGCAGGUUAAUACCCCGCUGUUCUGACGGUACCCAAAGAAUAAGCACCGGCUAACUUCGUG
rnacentral:rRNA from 1 species